GCAGGCACUGUCGGGAUGGACAUCUUCAGAAAGCAUAUGCAAGUUGUCCUCAGUAUGACCAAUACAAGACGCCUGCAAGAAGAUUCCAUUCCAAGCUGUUAAAGUGCUGCAGUCAAUAAAGACCUGGAGUAUGAGUCUACCUCUGUGCACCACACAGCUGUUGUCAUGCAAGCUAUUUCAAAUACCACUCUGGCAGACAAAGCUCUAAUUUGAGAGAAACACCAGAUAGUUCCACCUAAUAUAAUGAAAUCAGCAGGACUCAAGGCUCUUCACAGUCUCCUCAUUUGCUCUGCUAACAAAGGUUUUGCUGUUGUUCAGGAAGCACUCAUAUUCCCCCAGAAUGUGUUGAGUUCUUUGCUGGGCACGAGGGAUGCGAAGAGAAAAAGCCUGUGAAGACACAGAAGACAGUCAUCUGCAAACCAAAGAAAGAGGCCUCAGGAGAAACCAAACCUGCCAACACCUUGAUCUUGGACUUUCAGCAUCCAGGACUCUGAGAAAAUAAAUUUCUGUUGUUUAAGUCA
ensembl:lncRNA novel transcript